ACGCUGGCGGCAGGCCUAACACAUGCAAGUCGAGCGGUAGAGAGAAGCUUGCUUCUCUUGAGAGCGGCGGACGGGUGAGUAAUGCCUAGGAAUCUGCCUGGUAGUGGGGGAUAACGUUCGGAAACGGACGCUAAUACCGCGUACGUCCUACGGGAGAAAGCAGGGGACCUUCGGGCCUUGCGCUAUCAGAUGAGCCUAGGUCGGAUUAGCUAGUUGGUGAGGUAAUGGCUCACCAAGGCGACGAUCCGUAACUGGUCUGAGAGGAUGAUCAGUCACACUGGAACUGAGACACGGUCCAGACUCCUACGGGAGGCAGCAGUGGGGAAUAUUGGACAAUGGGCGAAAGCCUGAUCCAGCCAUGCCGCGUGUGUGAAGAAGGUCUUCGGAUUGUAAAGCACUUUAAGUUGGGAGGAAGGGCAGUUACCUAAUACGUGAUUGUUUUGACGUUACCGACAGAAUAAGCACCGGCUAACUCUGUGCCAGCAGCCGCGGUAAUACAGAGGGUGCAAGCGUUAAUCGGAAUUACUGGGCGUAAAGCGCGCGUAGGUGGUUUGUUAAGUUGGAUGUGGAAUCCCCGGGCUCAACCUGGGAACUGCAUUCAAAACUGACUGACUAGAGUAUGGUAGAGGGUGGUGGAAUUUCCUGUGUAGCGGUGAAAUGCGUAGAUAUAGGAAGGAACACCAGUGGCGAAGGCGACCACCUGGACUGAUACUGACACUGAGGUGCGAAAGCGUGGGGAGCAAAC
rnacentral:rRNA from 1 species